UGGGGGAUAUUGCACAAUGGGGGAAACCCUGAUGCAGCGACGCCGCGUGAGGGAAGACGGUCCUCUGGAUUGUAAACCUCUGUCUUCGGGGACGAAACGAGACGGUACCCGAGGAGGAAGCCACGGCUAACUACGUGCCAGCAGCCGCGGUAAUACGUAGGUGGCAAGCGUUGUCCGGAAUUACUGGGUGUAAAGGGAGCGUAGGCGGGCAGGCAAGUCAGGCGUGAAAUAUAUCGGCUCAACCGGUAACGGCGCUUGAAACUGCAGGUCUUGAGUGAAGUAGAGGUUGGCGGAAUUCCUAGUGUAGCGGUGAAAUGCGUAGAUAUUAGGAGGAACACCAGUGGCGAAGGCGGCCAACUGGGCUUUUACUGACGCUGAGGCUCGAAAGUGUGGGGAGCAAACAGGAUUAGAUACCCUGGUAGUCCACACCGUAAACGAUGAUUACUAGGUGUGGGGGGACUGACCCCUUCCGUGCCGGAGUUAACACAAUAAGUAAUCCACCUGGGGAGUACGGCCGCAAGGUUGAAACUCAAAGGAAUUGACGGGGGCCCGCACAAGCAGUGGAGUAUGUGGUUUAAUUCGACGCAACGCGAAGAACCUUACCAGGUCUUGACAUCGUAUGCAUAAUGUAGAGAUACACGAAGUCCUUCGGGACAUACAGACAGGUGGUGCAUGGUUGUCGUCAGCUCGUGUCGUGAGAUGUUGGGUUAAGUCCCGCAACGAGCGCAACCCUUGUAUUUAGUUGCUACGCAAGAGCACUCUAGAUAGACUGCCGUGGACAACACGGAGGAAGGUGGGGAUGACGUCAAAUCAUCAUGCCCCUUAUGACCUGGGCUACACACGUACUACAAUGGCAAUAGAACAGAGGGAAGCGACUCAGCGAUGAGAAGCAGAUCCCGAAAAAUUGUCUCAGUUCGGAUUGCAGGCUGCAACCCGCCUGCAUGAAGUCGGAAUUGCUAGUAAUCGCGGAUCAGCAUGCCGCGGUGAAUACGUUCCC
rnacentral:rRNA from 1 species